rnacentral:rRNA from 1 species
UGGGGAAUAUUGCACAAUGGGGGAAACCCUGAUGCAGCGACGCCGCGUGAAGGACGAAGUAUUUCGGUACGUAAACUUCUAUCAGCAGGGAAGAAAAUGACGGUACCUGACCAAGAAGCCCCGGCUAACUACGUGCCAGCAGCCGCGGUAAUACGUAGGGGGCAAGCGUUAUCCGGAUUUACUGGGUGUAAAGGGAGCGUAGACGGCCAUGCAAGUCUGAUGUGAAAACCCGGGGCUCAACCCCGGGACUGCAUUGGAAACUGUGCGGCUGGAGUGUCGGAGAGGCAAGUGGAAUUCCUAGUG